CACGUGAGGCGCGGCGGACCAAUAGCGCGAGGGCUGCGCAGCGCGAGCCCAGGGGCCCCCCAAGAUGGCGACGCCAACGCAAGGAGCCGCGCAGCAGCCCGAGGUGGUGAAGGGUCAGGUCUUCGACGUGGGCCCCCGCUACACGAGCCUCAGUUACAUCGGCGAGGGCGCCUACGGCAUGGUCUGUGCUGCCUUCGACAAUGUAAAGCUGGUUCGAGUGGCCAUCAAGAAGAUCAGCCCUUUUGAGCACCAGACAUAUUGCCAACGUACCUUGCGCGAGAUAAAAAUUCUGCUGAGAUUUAAGCACGAAAAUAUCAUCGGCAUCAACGACAUCCUUCGGGCAUCGACUAUUGAUCAAAUGAAAGAUGUCUACAUAGUUCAAGAUCUGAUGGAAACGGACCUCUACAAACUUUUAAAGGGGCAGCAGCUUAGCAAUGACCACAUCUGUUACUUCCUCUACCAGAUCCUGCGUGGACUCAAAUACAUCCAUUCAGCUAAUGUUUUGCACCGUGACCUGAAGCCAUCCAACCUUCUCCUCAACACCACCUGUGACCUCAAAAUCUGUGAUUUUGGCUUGGCUCGAGUAGCAGACCCAGACCAUGACCAUACAGGUUUUUUGACCGAGUAUGUGGCCACACGUUGGUACCGUGCUCCUGAAAUAAUGCUGAACUCCAAAGGAUAUACAAAAUCCAUCGACAUCUGGUCCGUGGGCUGCAUCUUGGCAGAAAUGUUGUCCAACAGACCUUUGUUCCCUGGGAAGCAUUAUCUCGACCAGCUCAACCACAUCCUAGGAAUCCUCGGUUCACCUUCUCAAGAGGACCUGGACUGCAUCAUCAAUAUGAAGGCCAGGAAUUACCUGCAGUCUCUUCCUCCGAAAGCCAAAGUGCCUUGGAACAGGCUCUUUCCGAAAGCGGAUUCCAAGGCUUUGGAUCUGCUGGACAAGAUGCUCACCUUUAACCCCCAUAGGCGCAUCACCGUGGAAGAGGCCUUGGCUCAUCCGUAUCUGGAGCAGUACUAUGACCCUUCUGAUGAGCCUGUAGCAGAGGAGCCGUUCAGAUUUGACAUGGAACUGGAUGAUCUCCCCAAGGAGCGGCUCAAAGAGAUGAUCUUUGAGGAGACUGCACGCUUCCAGCCAGGAUUUCAGCAGGCGUGAUCCUCUCUGCUACCCCUGCCUGCUUUGCUCUUGUGGGUGCUACAGAUUUAUUUUUCUUAUAUAUAAUGCGUCUGGUGCCUGACGACUCCAGAUAUAGCUGAAAAAACAUGUACACCGCCUAACAAAGAUAUUUAAUGUCCUGCCUGGUGUCUGCAAUUUGUGAGGCCAUCCCACAGUUUCUCACAAGAGACCAGAUUCAUCCUACUCCCACAAAAGGGAUUCAGCAGCAAAAAAAAAAUCUCUUUUAACCUGUAAACUUUGGGUUGGGCUGUUUGUGCUGGGUUUUUGUGAGCAAGACACAAUUUCCUCUCCCCCAUGUUAACUUGCCCUUUUAUUUUUUGUGAGCUUGUUUUUUUGUAUAAAGUGGCUUUUGUAUUUGCUUGGUGCAGACUUGUUACAUUUGGUAUUUCGUGUGAAAAAAAAUAUAUGGAUGAAUUUGUUUCCUACAAGUGCGGACGUUCACAUUUUGUGCAAGACUUGAGUCUUGGCAUAUAAUGGCUUUUGUUUGCCAAUACAUUUUAGGACUGGUUCAGACUGUCAUUUUCGUAGUGUUUGCAAAGCCAUUUGAAUUCCUGUAAUGUAGGAUGGCCUUCAUUAUUACAAUUGAUUGUUGUGAUUUUAGCAGACAAGCUUGUCAAAAAUGUUAUUUAGGGAGCUUUGCUUUAGAUGCAGGUUAAAUCUGGUUAAUAGGCCUGUAUGAAAUAUUGUGUUUAAAUGUACAUUAACUGAUUUGGGUAAGCCUUGGAUGAACUUUUAUUAUUAUUGAUGUUAUAUUAUUUUAUUGUUAACGUUGUUGCAAUGAAAACCCACUGUUAAAACUAAAAAAACCUGUAAAAUUUGGUAAAUAUUAGGUUAACCAAAAUGUUUAAACCAACUAUAGUAUUCCCUUUUAAUACUGCUAAAUAAAGUAAUUGAUUUGGGAAGAUGCUGUUGGAAGAAAUUAAGCACUUGUACUUUUGAACAUUGAAAGUUAUCUUUUCUAUAAUUAUUUAAAAAGUUAACAGUUGUCCAUUGUUUUCAAGAAUGAAUACUUAACUUCACUCAGUGUUCUUUAUGCAGGUGUACCCCUUAACCCAUACACAAAUUAAAAUACUAUGCCAAUGCAUAUGCGCCAUUCACAUGGUAUGUAUGCGACACCAUUUACCAAGUGUUUCAGUUAGGUACUGCACAAUUUGAAGAACUGUCACAAUAUGGUGUAAUGAAGUGGGUCAAAUGUGUUUAAUUUGUCUAUGCUUUUUUGUUUUUUGAAACUAUAAUAUAGUGGCCAUUCACUUUUAAAUUUGUAUUCUAUUGCUGGUGUGUUAAUCAAGUACAUAAUCUUGAUCCGUUGUGUUGUGUAAAACAUAUUCAAGACAUGAUUCUUAAACAGGCAUACAUUGGUUUCACAUUGAAUAUGUACCUAAAGCAACCGAGGUUAUUCUAAAUUAUAAUUGGUGUAUAGUGCAGGCUGCUAACAUUGGAACAAACGGUUUUUCAUUACUUAUGAGAACAUAACAUUUUAAUUAACACAACAUUACAUUUGGUGUUUGCCUUAUUCAUUGUGCUUGUGUUUUUGUAUUGUCACAGCUGGCACCAUUACAGUGAAGUAUCGUACGCUUUUUCGAUUAAACAUUUGAAUUGAUAAAGAGAUUACUUUUAUGGAUCAUGAAUAAGCUUUGCCUAGGCUAGGUACAAGAUAUAAUGUGAUAACUAUCAACUUCAGCAAAAAAAGGGAAAAGAUUAAUCCAGGACAAUAGUGUGCUUUACAUUGUACUUUUUGAUGAAUUCUGUCUGUGUAUAAAGUAAGCAUUAAACCACAAGAUAACGUAUCGCUUUUGUUUUUGAGUUUCAAUUUUUAAGUGUCCCUAUUCAGCACUGUUGCAGCUGGGUUAUUUGGAGAACUUACUAUACAUUAAAGUUGAAAUAACAUGAUUUUACAUUGUUCAUGGCUGUUUUCCCCCCAGGGUCCUUAUUUAAACAAAUAAAAAAACAUUUUAGAUGAAUUUAUUGUGUCCAGCAUGGUAAAAAUGUUACAGCAUAAUAGUUUAACAUUUUUUUUAUGACGCAACGUUUUUGAGCUUUUAGGCAUUGGACUGUGAGCAUGCACCCAUGUCUACUGCGACUGCCAUUUGAAGUUUUUGUGUUUUUAUUGUCCUGACGGCCACGUGGAAUGGCCUUGAAAAGUGGUUGAAGAUUCGAUAUCAUUUGUAAAAGCCUAAUGUGCAUCUAAAUCUUGUUUACAUAACCGUUCUAACCUUGUAUGUCAGACUGUUAACCACAACUUCAGUAUUGAAAACCAAGGUAACUGUUUAGCGAUUUUAAUGGUGAUGCAGAAAUAAAAACGUUUGCUGUUGUCUUGCUAAUAUAGGAUAUUGGGCAUUACAACAGUAGAUGUGAGCAGGUGAUAUAUGGACAGGCCUGGGUUAUUUAAGAAUGUAAAACAGUUGUGGGAAGACGAUCAGGAUAUUUUUCUCACUGCAGUGUGUAUAAACUAAAUCCAUGUUUAAACCUUAAGGACCAUGUCAACGUAUGAAUGUAGUACAGCGUACUCUGCCUUAACCUAGAAAGUUGAUGUCUGUGGUGACGCAAAGUCUUUGACUUGUGUAUAUGGCAAUGCUUUUGCUCUAACUGUAUAUGUCCAGCCCAUUGAAGCUGGCUUGGAUAUAAGUCUGUGAUUUGCAUGCAGUAUAAAUAAACUGUUAAAAGCCA